rnacentral:lncRNA from 1 species
AGUCUGAUGGAUCUGGGUGACUGGGCAAGUUCUUUAGCUUGUCAAACCUUCAUUUCUCUAAUUUAUAACAUAAGGACAGUACCUUCUUCCUGUCAAGGUUGAGGCAAGCAUUAGUGAGAAACGUCUCAAGGCCUGGUUCACAUUAAAGGUCAAAAAAGAGAGAAAACAUCACUGUUCUCUUCAGCAGAACUUUUGUCAGUGUGAUCGAGAAUUGUCUCAAGUGACAAGUGAGCUGACCAGGGAACCCUGGGUGGCAGGUACUAUUGGCACCAUUUUCCAGAUAAAGAAAAUGAAGUUCUAAGCAGUCAAAUGACAUGUCAAGAUCACCCAACUGUAAAGGAUGACAGAGGGCACAGAAGCCACCAGCAGAUUCUUUGGAAGGAAGUAACAGGAGUGGAACUUCAUUUUCCCAUGGAUUGUAAAGGGCUGGGCUCCCUUCCACCUCUUCUCACUGGCCUCCUGUUUGUACCCCUGACCUCUCCGGGAUCUGGAUCCCAACACUGUCUUCUGCAAUGAAAACCCUGAUUUUCUAUAUCUGGACAAAAGACUAGGACAUAACGAGAAUUUUAGCGGAAGGAACUGAGGGAGAGAGAUUGCACAGCAGACAAGGACAAAUAAAGGGAAGGUGGAAACAAGGUCACACACUGUUGCCCAGGCUGGAGUAGAGUGGCGUG